rnacentral:lncRNA from 10 species
UUCCUUCCUCUCCUUCAGGAUCUGCUGGAACACUGGGCAGGCCAAAAGACAGCUGUAUGUAAUGGAGAGCUGACUCAGGAACAAUGCAAUUAAGUUAAACUCUGUGGACAUUGGAGAAUCUUCUGCACAGAGGGGUUUAAACGGAGUGCUGGUGAAGAUGUGUUGCUGGGUAAAGUGAUUCUCAGACUUGACCUCCUGCUGCCCUGCUCCCACCCUGGAAUGGAGCAGGUGCCAGGUGGACAUGGCUGCAGGUGCUGUGGGAGGUGAGUCGUGCAGCCACAGGGGAAAACGUUUCAGGAUCCAGUGUCCGUCCUUCAAAGUUGCUUCUAACAAGGAAACCGCUGCCUAAUCACCGGCACCUGUCAAAUUGGAAUCUCAGCCAUCAGCCUGUAAGCUGGAUCUGGGAGGCUUUGUUUCUGGAGACUUCUGCUUUCUUUGGAAGGCAGGCUCAAACCUGAUCCUCUAUACAACGGUCCCGAGUUAAAUCUGGCCAGUCUGAAAAGCCAGCCAUGCUGGCGAGUGCAUGAAAAUCCUGCUUCAAAGGCAGAGAGCCGGGCUCCACGCGACAUUCCGCACCUUCCUCAGGGUGGCUUCUCCUUCUCCCUGGCCUCGUACCCUAGAACUUAAAGUAUAAUAAAAAAAUAAAAAAUAAAAAAGGAAGAAAACCUGCAUCAUCAAUGAAAGAAACGUCUAGUUUGUCUAAUUCUAUUGUUUAUCUUUAUUUUUCUAUUUUUCUCUGUCCCUGAAUUUUAAAACUUGUUUUCCCGUGUAUAGAUAGCAGCUCUGAACACUGAAAUUCUGAGAUUAUGUUGAGAAAGACAACCAGUAAA